UACAGAGGGUGCGAGCGUUAAUCGGAAUUACUGGGCGUAAAGCGUGCGUAGACGGCUAUCUACGUCGGGUGUGAAAGCCCCGGGCUCAACCUGGGAAUUGCAUUCGAGACUGAAUAGCUAGGGUACGGUAGAGGGAAGCGGAAUUUCCGGUGUAGCGGUGAAAUGCGUAGAUAUCGGAAGGAACAUCAGUGGCGAAAGCGGCUUCCUGGACCAGUACCGACGUUCAGGCACGAAAGCGUGGGGAGCAAACAGG
rnacentral:rRNA from 1 species